rnacentral:rRNA from 1 species
AGGGUUUGAUCCUGGCUCAGAAUGAACGUUGGCGGCGUGGAUUAGGCAUGCAAGUCGCGCGGAAGUAGCAAUACUUUAGCGGCGAAAGGGAUAGUAACACGUGGGUAACAUACCUCUAGGAUCGGGAUAGCUACGGGAAACUGUAGGUAAUACCGAAUAAUGUCUCCGGACCAAAGGUGUGAUUCCUUCUAGAGAGCGGCCCGCGUCCUAUUAGCUAGUUGGCAGGGUAACGGCCUACCAAGGCAAAGAUGGGUAGCGGGUGUGAGAGCAUGACCCGCAUCACUGGGACUGAGAUACUGCCCAGACACCUACGGGUGGCUGCAGUCGAGGAUCUUCGGCAAUGGGGGAAACCCUGACCGAGCGACGCCGCGUGCGGGAUGAAGGCCUUCGGGUUGUAAACCGCUGUCAGUGGGGAGGAAAUGUGGGAGGGUUCUCCCUCUCAUUUGACCUAUCCGCAGAGGAAGUACGGGCUAAGUUCGUGCCAGCAGCCGCGGUAAGACGUACCGUACGAACGUUAUUCGGAAUCACUGGGCUUAAAGGGUGCGUAGGCUGUCCGGUAAGUUGGGUGUGAAAGCCCUCGGCUCAACCGAGGAAUUGCGCCCAAAAACUGCCGGACUUGAGGGAGACAGAGGUAAGCGGAACUUAGGGUGGAGCGGUGAAAUGCGUUGAUAUCCUAAGGAACACCAGUGGCGAAGGCGGCUUACUGGGUCUCUUCUGACGCUGAGGCACGAAAGCUAGGGUAGCGAAGAGGAUUAGAUACCCUCGUAGUCCUAGCCGUAAACGAUGAGCACUGGAUCGAAGGGUCCUCCAUAGCCUUUCGGUCGUAGCGAAAGUGUUAAGUGCUCCGCCUGGGGAGUAUGGUCGCAAGGCUGAAACUCAAAAGAAUUGACGGGGGCUCACACAAGCGGUGGAGGAUGUGGCUUAAUUCGAGCCUACGCGAAGAACCUUAUCCUAGUCUUGACAUGCACGGAUUAACCCCAUGAAAGUGGGGCCACGCUCUCUGAGUGGAACGUGCACAGGUGCUGCAUGGCUGUCGUCAGCUCGUGUCGUGAGAUGUCGGGUUAAGUCCCUUAACGAGCGAAACCCUUGUCGCUAGUUGCCAGCGAGUCAUGUCGGGGACUCUAGCGAGACUGCCGGUGUUAAACCGGAGGAAGGUGGGGAUGACGUCAAGUCCUCAUGGCCUUUAUGACUAGGGCUGCACACGUCCUACAAUGGCGCGUACAAAGGGAAGCAAACCUGCGAGGGCAAGCAAAUCCCAAAAAGCGCGCCUCAGUUCGGAUUGCAGGCUGCAACCCGCCUGCAUGAAGCCGGAAUCGCUAGUAAUCGCGGGUCAGCAUACCGCGGUGAAUGUGUUCCUGAGCCUUGUACACACCGCCCGUCAAGCCACGAAAGUGGGGGGCAUCCGAAGUCGCCGUGCUAACCGCAAGGAAGUAAGCGCCGAAGAUGAACUCCGCGAUUGGGACUAAGUCGGAACAAGGUA